UUUUUUUUUUUGGUAUUUUAGGGCAGGGAAAUGAAGCUGAAUUGGAAUCGUGCCCGUGACAGGGGUGGGUCGCCUGCUCCGUCCUUGUCUUCCGGUGCGUGCGUGUCCUCCUAUCUCUCUCUCUCUCUCUUUUGUUUUGUUUUCAGAAUCUCUGCCGUGUCUAAAUUAUCGCUACCAGUGUGGUACGCAUGUGAAUUGUUUCGCUUUCCUUCUUAACAAAUCGCGUUGGGUGACGUCACCCCAGCGGCGAAGCUGGCAUGUGAUGCUUGCUUGCUGAAAAUAAUCCGGCACGGAGAUUUCGGCGUCGAUCAGGCCGUUUCAGGUCCUCGAGUGUUAGGAUCUUGUAUCGCUCAUGCAGUUGGGGCUUGGCUGGGCUGGCGUAUAGUCCACUGUUGUAUGCACAGCGCAUGAUUGAAUGCGUUCGCUCUUCGCUGUCCAUCAUACAGCCAUCGAGAACAGUAGGAAAGUACGUGUGCGUAUUUAUAGCUAUAGCCUUUGGAGCACGGACGUACAACUCACGGUCACGAGCCUGCUCAUGAGUAACCUGACUUCCCAAGAAAGAAAGGAAGGAGGAGACAUGCACACCCAUGCGUUGCGAUCAUGGAUUCAUGGUUGCCCCCCUCGCCAUCCGCUCAGAAAUGUGUGUUUCUCUUCACGGCUUCGAAAGUUCGUGUUUCUCUCUCAUCAUCCAUGCAUGCGCACGCGCAGAUCUCAUGCCGGGCCAUGAUCACUGUCGCGAGAAAGAUGUCCAGUUCAUCCGUUCAUGCCCCCAUCGAGUUUGACGGCGUGGUGGGUAGGCGGUAGGACAGACCGACAAAGCCACCAGAGAUGAACAGAAACUAAAAUUUUUACUGGGGUGGUGAAGUGGUAUAGCCCAAACUGAGACGGUGCCCCCGGCCGUCAGGCGACCUGGCACGGCAGGCGAACCCGAACGUCCGCUCCGUGCGCCGAGGACGCUCGCCGCGCGCGGCAACCUCCUGGGGCUACGGCCCCCUCGCCGUUCGCGUGUCGAGCCACCGGGCGCUCGCUCAACUGCCAACCGCGCGCGGCGCGGCGCGUGCGCCACGCCCUGGGAUGAAGAUGCCGUGCCGGUGCCGGUGCCGGUGCCGCGCCCGCUCCCCGUCCAAGAUUUUCCGUUGCCUCGCCCGAGGAUAUUGCGGGGGGUCACUGGGCACGGCACGGUACGGGCACUGGCGCGGUGCGCUUUGAGCAGAGACGCAGAGUGGCCGGCCGGGAAGCAAGGCAUCCAGGCGCCCGCGCCGCUGGAGUCCUGGACUCGCGUCGCGCGGCAGCCCACGGCCCCUGCCCGGUGGCGCCGCGCCGCAGUAACUUUGUCUUUACAUUGAUGGAUGCAGGUGAUGGGCUACAAGACUGUAAAAAUUCAUGUACAGUAGCAUUGUACCGCUUCUGCACUGGUAGCUUUCUUAAUCACGUGCCUAGGAUCCGACAUUAAUCCCCCGAACAUGUGCGACAUGUUAAAGACCGCGACGCUGCCCUGCCCCCCAUGUGCGCUGCUUCCACACAUCUCUACAGUUCCGCAGCAGCACACGGAGAUCCAAAUUCACUACGCUCCCCGGACGGACCCACCCGUUCGUGAAUCCACCCGGGUACGGUAAAAAUCAGUGCCGCUACACGACCAUCUACGGCAUACGCGUUCGUACAUGUACUAGCUGGGGUAGUAUCCGUAUCGCCAUCGUGAGUAGCGCACAACCGACGGGCGUGAGGUGACGUGGCUAGCUACCUCGACGACAUGCUGGCGUUGCUCGACGUGAAGCUGCUGACGCCGCAGCUGGAGCCGGACGCGCCCAGCGCCGCCGGGUCCUUGGGGCCCUUCUGGUACUGCGCCUCCCGGUGGUCGGCGAAGGACAGGAACGACCGGAUGCUGCUGCGGUGGCCGGAGCGGGAGAUGGCGGUGCCGUCGGCGGCCGAGGCGACGUGGCGGGAGUACUGGCGGACGAGCACGCAGGCGUGGAUGGCCAGCGCGGCGGCGCAGGCCACGCCGCAGAUGAGGAACAGCGCCGAGAAGCUCUGCACCUCCAGCGGGGCCGACUGCAGGUUGGUGGUGGCGGACUCCGACGACGACCCCACCGACAGCCACUUGUCGUGGAUCCUCUGCAGGUCGCCGUUCUCAGACAGCGCCAGGAUCGCCGUCGACAGGUCCACCGCCAGCGGCGAGUCCCGCGGGAACGCCUGCCCAGAGACCCAACAAGACGAGUGCUCAGCCAUGGAUGGUAUCAUCAGAAACGUUUGCAUCAUCAUCAGAAAAAAAAAAAAAAGGUUCAGCGAAUCGCCCGACUCACGAAGCCCCAGCCGCUCUUGGUGAACUCGGCCCCCACGAUCGCGAACUUGUCGUGGUUGGUCAGGAAGAGCUCGACGUACGGGCGCUCGUCGACGAUGGCCACGACGCCGCCCUUGCGAGGGCCGAGCUCCAACGCAGCCUCGUACUCGUCCGGGGAGCCGAGCUUCCUGAGCCUCGACGGGGACACGCCGAGCUCGUGGACGAGGUAGCUCUCGGCGAAGGAGCCCACCUGGAACCCGAUGGGCUCGUCGCUGGCGAUCAAGCUGUCGAUGCCCCUGAUCGGGGACGUGAGCUGCUGCACGGUGAGGAUGGAGGUCAGGUUGGCAGUGUAGCUGGACUGAAUGAUCAGGACGACGAAGAGCCAGAUGAUGAUCACGAAACGCCCCAGCGUGCUCCUGGUGUCCUCUCCUGUAAAAAGAGUAGAUGCAGAGUGACUCUUUUGAGUUUGCUCGGAAAGGUUUUCAUCUCGAUUCGUAUGCAGAAAUGUGAAGAGCUGCAUUUCACUUACUGUGGGCAAAGAACAGAGUUGAGAAACUGAACCUGCAAAAAGAGAAUGUAGCAUGUUAAGAUGCAAACGAAAUUGAUGGUUCCAGAAGAAGCAGAGAAAUGCUUGCAGCAAGCGAAAUUGAUCUGACUAUCCUUCCGACUCGUCUUUUUUUUUAAAAAAAAUGACACUAAACGAUGCCUAGCGUGACGGAAAUUACACAGAUCUUAAGUAGGUGACCUUACCAGAAUACAGUAAUAACCUGUUUCACUGGAGGACCGCGGAAGUCAUCAUUGAUUCUGUGCUCGAGCAACCAAAUCACCGUUCCCACGAUCAGAAAGAACACUCCUGUGACCAACCACAUUCUGAUGGUAAACGGCUGCAGGAAAGCCCAUCCGUUGGAGCCCUGCGGCUUAACAGAGGUAAGUAUGACAAGCCCGGACCCGACAUAUGGUUGGGUGAAAUCAACAAGCCUUGUCCGAUUUGUGACAAUAGCUACAUCACCAACAACAGCAUCAAAUUCCUAGCCAUAAGAAAAAGGAUGACUGUUAUAACAAGACUUAGUGACACAUUAACCAUAAAGUGUUCAUUUUAGAAACAGAACUUACAUUCGUCACAAUUUGAUUGAUAAGCUGUGUAUAGCUUGGAUUCUCAAGGCCAUUGCCAAAAGGUAUAAACCUAUAUGCAACUGGGUAUUGCAGUAGGUUUAUUGCAGCAGCAAACACAUCAAUACAUAACCCGCCCACCAUUCCAGUCUGAUUGUCAUCUGAUACAAAUUGACGGUAACUUACCCUAUUGGGGACUCCAAUUCUCAGCUCGUCUCCAUUGUUAGCGAAUACCCAUCCUCGGGGCCUUUUUAUAGUCUCACCUGGCCAGAUUGCAGUGUGUAGUUUCUGAUUUUCAAUAGUGUCAUUGGGUGGUUUCUUGUAAAGAGUUUCAGGGGACACAAUGGACAGCCCAGAGUAGUUGGACCAAUAACCAAUUGUCCGCAGACCAGACCCUAUUAUGUUUAUAAUGUCAUACGCAGGAUUGAUAAGAUUACCAUCUGAAUCCAGUUUUACAGUGCCAGUUGCGCCCAUGAAAUUUACUUUGCGAAUUCUUUCCAGUAAUAGCAUUCCCCCAUCAAAGACGGUCAAUGCAUCCAAAUUCAAAGCUCCUCCUGAAACUGCAUGCAGUCUGGGGUCUGGAGAGAAGGAAAUGUUUCCACCACCAUUGAAAAAUGCAUCCAACGCAUAAGCAAGCAUCCAGACUGUAUCAUAAGCAUAAAGGCCAUAGGAAUUGAGCAAGAACCUGCUGCCACCACUAUCCUCCUUAACAAGUGUACUCCAUUGAGAAACUAGUGUCUUCUUCCUAUUGGUAUUUCCUGUGUGUUGACGCAAUGUGAGAACACCCUGCAUUGUGCUCAGUAAUCCACUAUCAAGACGCGGGGCAGAAUCGAGGGCUGCACUGAGCCAAUCUGUAGCAAUCCACACAUAUCCACCGGAUGUCAUGGUAAGAUUGUACGCUAAUGAGAACACGUCAAGCCCAGUGUGAUCAUAUGCAUGCAAUACAAAAACCCGGGACUCCAUCAUUGCAGCUUUGACCAGUACAGCAGCUAUUUCACUCUUCUUUGCUCCUGGCCUAAUUGCAGCUUUAUGCAAGAUCUUCAAUCUUCUCUUGGCAAGCUCAUCGCCUAAGGUGGAUAUGCCAUUUCUUCCAUAAUCGUCAUCAAUAUAUACUGCUGUCACCAUCUUCCACCCAUAGUAAUAAACUAAGUCUGCAACUGAAGCCAUUUGAAAUUGAUCACUGUGGAUAGUACGCACAAAGAAAGGAUACUGAAGUGAUGUGAGAGUCGGAUCAGUUGCAGCAAAAGACAUCAAAGGUACUUGGAGUUCAUUUGCAACAUGGGAUAUGACAUGCGCAACGACUGAAGAUUGGGGGCCGAUGAUUGCAACUGUAUCUUUCUCCAUGAAUUGCAAGGCUAGGCAAGACAAAGGGAUAAGGAGUCAGUCGUAAGGCACCAUGUGGAUUGUAUUUUUGUCACAAAAAGUGAGUGUUAUUGGUCCAGUGGUAGACAGACCUUGCUCAAAUAAAAAUGGCAGAGAGACAUGAAGGAGUACCUUGAACAAUGCCAAUGAAGCCACUGGAAUUGGUAUCUUGCAUCUGAACAACCAGCUUUGUGCCCGAGAGAACACGUGAAUCAUUGUUGAUGUCAUUGACUGCAGCAGCAAUGGCAACCUUUGCAACUCUCCCAAUAAUCGAAUCGAAUGUGAAAAGAGCUCCAAUGUUCACAACAUCAGGUCCCACAGAAAUAUUCUGCGCAAGUGUGCAAUAGCACAGACAACUGAAAAUGCCCAAAAUAUGGAGCAUGGACUUCAUGUUUAGUCCAGAUUCCAAAGGAUUAAUGGGGUGUUCUUUAGGAGUCCAUCCUUCAGCUCAACAUCAGAUACGCUGAAGAACCAAAAGAAAAUUUCAGAAUGACGCCUGUUAGGUAGAUACUUUCACUACCCAAUGACUCAAAACUAUCUUCAAGAAAAAUUCAGGCAUUUACAUGAUGAACUGCAGCCACAGGUUACAACUUUGGAAUGGAUAUCAAUUAUGAGGGGAGGAUAUAUCGCCUCGCGCAGCGAUAUGAAUUUGGGGCUCAAGAGCAAAAGAAAUGGGCACUCCCGGUGGGAAAUAAGAAGGGGAAUUUCGUAAAAAUAAACAAAGAAAAACACCAUCAAAACAAAAUUUAAAACAUGCUAUUCCGACCCUAUGGAGCUACAGAAAUGAAGCAACCUCUCACCUUAAGAUUUGCCCAUGAGUAAACAGAAUAACGAGCCAAAUUAGAACAGAAACCUAAGGAUGAGCUGAGAUGGGCUUGACCGCGGAAUUCUUUAUGUGAGCUCGAGGGGCAAGAAGAUCAGCUAUGAGGCAGACAUGGGACUAAAUCUUGUUUUUGGAGAUAACAACUGGUUGAAUCCAAAAGCGUGGAGCAUGCAGGAUUCGCAAAUAGUUGCCCCACCCCUGGAACCUCUCCCCCUUUUGGUUUUCUUUUUGUGAGUUGAGGCAUGGUUCCUCUUACCGCCAGUUGGCUCCGGAGCAGCCAGUAGCUUCCUCUCGGAUGGCACGAGAUAGAUGUGAGGGACCAGUGGCCCGUGUGAACGAGAACCACCCUGAAGGCCCCGGAAUGCUGCACGCCACCGAUAUACAUGUUUAAAUUCGUCAGGCUAUCAUGGCAGUGGGCAGUGGCAGAUUCUUGGAGCCCAUGCACUGAACAUUUUCCCAGCAUCAGUGUCCAGUUUGCACAGAAAAAAGCAAGAUACUUGGGAGUGCCUACUGCCUAGGUAUCACAAUCCCGACCUGACAUGAACAAACAGGUCAGCAAGACGGAUUUUUUUUAUUUCAGAAAUAUUCAGGUCCUCAUGUCGAACAUGUGACUGGGAGUAGGCACGGAGUAGAGAACUUAGAUGCACGCCUUCUUUAGUUACCCAAAAUCCCAACUUUGUCACUAUAUAAAAAAAAGAUUCUCAUCACAUCAAACUUACGGUACAUGCAUGGAGUACUGGAUGUAGACGAAAUAAAAAACUAAUUGCACAGUUUGGUUGUACUUUGCGAGACGAAUCUUUUGAACCUAAUUAGUCAAUAUUUGAAAAAUAUUUUACAAAUACAAACGAAACGCUACAGUAUGCUACAGUGCUGGCGUAAUAAUUUUGGACAAUUAAAAUCGGGCAACUAAACAGGCCCGCAGGCCUGUCGAAAAUCCCGUCGUACAGAAGUAUCUGUGAUUUGAGGUGUGUUACUAUUCAAUUUCAAAGAUACAAGUGAGAUGUUUCCAACGGGGCAUGUGCUAGACUGCUAUUUGUAGUAGCCUAGUACUCCGUACCUGAGGGUAUCGAACAUGAGCGUUUGGGUCAUUGGAUGGAGCAGGUACCUUGGCAACGCCAGCCACAUGCCAUCCCUGGAAAGGCCGAAAGCAGCACCAGCAUCGGUGGAGCCUGGCAGCGCGCUGGUGACAAAAGUAAGGGGGUGUUUGGAACACUCAGAUGUUUUGAUACUAAUUAAGAGUAUUGAAUGUAGUCUAAUUAUAAAACUAAUUGUACAGAUGGAAUCUAAUUUGCGAGACGAAUCUAUUAAGCCUAAUUAGUCCAUGAUUUGAUAAUGUGGUGCUACAGUAACCAUUUGCUAAUGAUGGAUUAAUUAGCCUUAAUAGAUUCGUCUCGCGAAUUAGACUCCAUCUGUGCAAUUAGUUUUGUAAUUAGCUCAUAUUUAGUCCCAAUUAGUAUCCGAACAUCCGAUGUGACCCUGCUAAAGUUAGCACCUCAUAUCCAAACACUCUCUAAUAGACAUUGAAGACGAUGCUGGGCCAGCCAUCACAUCUAUGAAGUUGAAAUCUACAGCAGCGUUCUCUGAUUAAAUUCCCUAGUUUCUUAGGGGGUGUUUGGAUCCCCAAGCUAAAUUUUAGUCCCUGUCACAUCGAAUGUUUAGAUACUAAUUAGAAGUAUUAAACAUAAACUAUUUACAAAACCCAUUGCACAGAUGGAGGCUAAACAGCGAGACAAAUCUAAUUAGUCCAUUGAUUUGACAAUAUAAACCAUUUGCUAAUGAUGAAAUAAUUAGGCUUAAUAGAUUCGUCUUGCCGUUUAGCCUCCAUCUGUGUAAUUAAUUUUAUAAAUAACUCAUAUUUAAUCCUCCUAAUUAACCUUCGAAUAUUCAAUAUAAUACGGACUAAACUUUAGCUCCAAAAUCCAAACACCCCCUUAUCAUCGGGUCAAGAUCACCAAUAACUUCUACGAAAGGAUCAAAACGUACUCCUUUUGUUUUGCAUGCCUUGUCCUAGCAGCACUCAUCGCAACCCCCGGUUUUAAAUACGGACCAAAUGGUUAGCAGAGGUCAAAAACCACGUGAGCAUAUCGGAAAUGACAUUUACUCUAUAAUUGGCAAUCAAGCUUACAUCUUACAUUAGUUGCCAUAAGAAAUAACUUCCCUUUCAGCUCAAGAUGUAUGUUACAACACCCGAAGAUUCCUAGAGAUAACUUAAGGAAAUCAAACUACAAAUAGGAAGCACACAACAAUCCAAUGCUAUCCCCAACAAGCCAACUGCCUAAUAGUUGGAGAUCACUCAGGAUCUCCUUCUCAGGCCUCCACCCGCAACCUUUUGGACGGUGUGCUGUCGCUAGCCCCUACAGUCUCGAUAGUUUCAUUGCCUUCAACCAUAGUGGCUACGGUGCUAUUGGAUGGGUCCCCGAAGGUCCAUCCAGGAAAAUCUGAUCCUUGAAAUAACGAAGUUGGUGUGGUUCUGUAGAAUGCAAGGGGAACCUGUUUUAUCCGUCGCCGUACCUACAAUUCAAAAUUCAAGAUUUGUGAUUUUUCUGGGAAAUUUCUAGUGAUAAUUAACAAUGGACACUCAAACGGCAACAGAUAAUAUGGAAGUUC
rnacentral:lncRNA from 1 species